GCAGCAGCCCCACAGUGAUACAAGAUCUUUGGUGCAGCACUUAAGAAGAAAACAAGCUUAUCCUAGUUUUCCUCUCCACUUUCCCUAGUAGCUUCCAAAUACAUUUUCUUGCUUACAGCCUUUUGGACAUGGCAGCCAAGCUGCACAUUCCAUUUCUACUAGGUUCAGUGGAGUAAAAAGAACUUCCCUUCCUACCCACAUCUUUACCAAGGCUCCAGCAUCAGGAGCAGGUCUCUGAAAACUGCACCUUAGUUAUCAGAACCUGCAGCAAGGCAUUUGUACAUGCUCUGCACAGAAGCUUUUUUAGUUUACAAGCAACAAAAUGACAUAGAGAGGUAGGACUUAAAAGGUAGAUCUCUAAUGACGGAUCCAGCUGAGUACUAAAAGGCAGUAAAGCAUCUGAGACCUAUUAGAUGACAUACUGAAUUUCCUAAUGAGACCCUAUAGAUACUCAAACCUCUUGAAUAGUUGCAAUGGGAACAGAGAUCCUGGCCUUGUAAGGCAAGGAAAUGGUUAACCCAUUUUCCCUGAGAAAGCCACACCUGUGUGUCCCUAAACCAGACAGGCUCAAUGAAGGAAGGAAAUGAGCUCCUCCUCUUCCUCCUCUAUAAGAAGACAGAGAAGAAAGUCAUUCCUGUUUAGUCCACACAGAAAUCAAGACCUGGAGGAAGGUCAGACUCUACUGCUCUGGGAACCUGGCUAAGCUGGCACCAAGCGCUGCGAGAGGUUACUUACCACAUAGAAGUCAAAGGGAAUGUGUGGCACGAAGGGCCUGAAUCUAAAAGGAAAAAGUGGGAGAAAAUGGAGGAACCUAGGUUGGAGGAAAAUCAGAACUGCCCUUGACUGGGUCAGACCACAGGCCAGGUCCAAGCUGCGCAGCCUCCCGUCAGAGGGGCAGAGAGCGGAGCUGGAAGGGAGCGCGAGCUGCAUCUGACCAGCGUUUUUACCGCUGCUCCCUCGCAUGCAGCCUUCAGCACUGGAGAUCUAGGAAGCUUCGCUUCUCACAGAGGUUUAGGGCAGGAACAAGCUAGAGGCUGUCGGCCCCGCGGGGCCCCCCACAGCAGCCCCUCAAAGGGAGGC